ensembl:misc_RNA 7SK 7SK RNA
GGCUGGGAGGGUGAUCUGGCUGCGACAUCCAUCACCCCACUGAUCACCACGGUUGAUUCAGCCAAUCUGGCUGGCCAGGCGGGGGUCCCCUUCCUCCCUCACUGCUCCAGGUACAUCCCUCCUGAAGCUGCACAAUCGGUCGAAGAGGACGACCUUCCCCAAUAGAGGAGAGGACCGUUCUUCGGUCAAGGGUAGAAGGGUAGCCGCGCCCCAUCCAGAGUCUCCAAAUAAGCUCUCAAGGUCCAUCUGUAGGAGAAUGGAGGGCAGUCAAGCUUCUAAGACUCCAGACACAUCCAAAGGGAGGCACUGCAUGGGGCCAAUUGCCUAUGAGU